UUUAGCAAGAAGAGUCUUUUGAAUGUUGUGGCUGCGUUCCAAAGUUUUCUUCCUCGAAAAUCAUCGCCGCUCCAGCACAAAAAGUAAGGUCGUCUGGUCAUCAGAGCGAACGAGUCCGCAAAAUACAUCCGAGACAAUCCAAUUUGGUUUCUUCAUUAAACGCAAGCUGCGUCAUGUGAGGAAAAGGUGUUGCUGCGCCACGGACAAGACUCAAGCAAGCCCGUCAACAUUAGUUUUCGAUGACUUCUUCAAGCUAUUCUCUCCACGUCUUGAAAUACCUAAGUAGGAAAAGUCCUAUCAUCACUACCUCUGCGUUUUCGCUGCUCGGCAACUCUAUUCUUGUAAGCCGCAUACAGCUCUCGCCGUAAGCUUAGUGGGAGCAUUAUUUACGUUGUUGGACCUUCCAGCGUUCUUUAAUACGAAAGAAAAAAAGAGAGAAAGAAACACGAAGAAAAAAAAUUACGAGACAACGAAUGAAGGGAUUUCAUAGAAGUGAAGUGCUCGGUACCGAGGAAACUUGGCGCAAUAUUAUUGCCUGCGGAAGAGAUGAAGGUGACGGUAGAAUGUCCGCUCAAGAGCAACCUA